CUGGCUCAGGAUGAACGCUGGCGGCGUGCUUAACACAUGCAAGUCGAACGGAGCUUUAUGAACAAGACUUCGGUCAAGUGAAUUCUAAGCUUAGUGGCGGACGGGUGAGUAACGCGUGAGCAACCUGCCUUUCAGAGGGGGAUAACGUUUGGAAACAGACGCUAAUACCGCAUGACAUAGUUUUCUCGCAUGAGAGGACUAUCAAAGGAGCAAUCCGCUGAAAGAUGGGCUCGCGUCCGAUUAGGUAGUUGGUGAGGUAAAGGCCCACCAAGCCGACGAUCGGUAGCCGGACUGAGAGGUUGAACGGCCACAUUGGGACUGAGACACGGCCCAGACUCCUACGGGAGGCAGCAGUGGGGAAUAUUGCACAAUGGGCGAAAGCCUGAUGCCAGCAACGCCGCGUGAGGGAAGACGGUUUUCGGAUUGUAAACCUCUGUCUUUGGUGAAGAAGAAGUGACAUUAGCCGAGGAGGAAGCCACGGCUAACUACGUGCCAGCCGCUGC
rnacentral:rRNA from 1 species